CGGGGUCCCGUCCUCCCACAGCAUCCCUGCCCCGGGGUCCCGUCCUCCCACAGCAUCCCUGCCCCGGAGCCGCGUCCUUACCACAGCAUCCCUGCCCCUGCCCGCACUGCCGCCCGCAACCCCACCCCGAGUUUCCUGAGGAACUUAUCCGGUAUUUUGUGGUACUUAGUGCUUAUUCACUGAGAUCAAAGCCGACAAGUUAUUCUUAGGCUGGCUUGGCUGAGCAGGGAUCUUCUUUUGAAGCACAGAAAUGAGUUUGCUGUUCUGAAAGGUGUAAAAAUAUCCGUGGCAGAGAGACCUUUUAUGCUGCAGGAAGAAUCAGUGUAUAGAACAGCUCGAACAAAAGACAUACUUUGUGCAGAAUGUCAUCUGAUGAGAAGAAAAGCACAACUCCAGUUUUCCCAGAUGACUGUGUUCAGGACAGUUCUGUUUCUUCAGAUUCUCAGGAUGAAUAUAAAGAGCUGUUUCAUUUUACUGUAACGGCUCCGAAGUUUGAACAGUGUGUCUCAAAGUUGCCAGACCCUGCCUCAGAACAGAGACCACCUGACAGAGUUUCCAGGUUAACAGACGAAUCCAGUCAUCGUAGUAAUCCAGUCUCAACAUCAGUGAAGCAGGCUGGUAUGGAACAACCUGCUCUUCCAGAAACAAUUUCUUCCACACAUGAUCCAAGAGAAGUCAGCAAAACCACAGUGACUGAAUUAACUUCACCAGGUGGAGAAGUCACUCAAAUAGAAAAUAUAGUUGAUCUCUGCAGUGGAAGUUUUAAGACAAAUAUUCUGACUGAACUGAAAAAUUGGGAACUUAAUUUGAUUCAACAUCACAAGCUUCAAAUGAGACAAGAGAAAGCGAAACAUGCCACACAAGUGAAGCAACUGCAGAAUGAGAUGGAAAACCUGAAAGAGUUACUUCAUAAUUAUGAAAUCUCUAUUAGCAGGAAAGAUGAGGUAAUUAUCAACUUGACCCGAGCAUUAGGAAAGCAGAAGGAGAGAGCAGUGUUGUUGAGAGCGUUUACACAGUGGCGGAUUCAGCAUGUUAAAGCCAAACAAGAGGAAUAUGCAAUUAGAAUGGCAGAUAGACAUUUCCAGACAACUUUGAUGAAGAAAGCGUGGGCCGCAUGGCACUCUGUUAGUGAAGAAAGACGGAAAGACGAAGUAGCAAGAGCCUGUCAGUUAAGGGCAGAAGAUGUGUGUGUUCAGCUUGCCAGUGAUUGUGAAGCAAAAAUUGCAGAGUUAACUGCUGCUUUGGAAAUGACAAGAGCUGCGGUUCUGCGACUGCAUACUGAAAGAGAUGAGUAUGAAGACACGAUAAAGAAAGCCUUUAUGCGUGGUGUGUGUGCUUUGAAUCUGGAAGCAAUCACCAUGUUUCAAAGCAAGGACAGUAGGCCAGAUCCUGAUAUAGGAAGCAGGAGAAAUGAUCAUGCUACCACUGGUGCAGGCAGGCCACCUCCUUCACAAUAUAAUCAACCCUCACCACCACCUCCACCAGCAGCUGCUCUUCAGAUGGAAAACAUGUUUUGUAGCCACCUGGCUCAUGCAAGCACUCCUGAGACCAGACUAGAUUCUGAUUCUCCAGUUAUCGUCACUAGCACAACAUCGGGAUCUGGUGCGACAUCAACUCAAAAACUGCCCAUGGCAAAAAUAAUAACAUCUGCACAACAGAAAGCAGGAAGAACAAUCACUGCUCGAAUCACAGGUCGAGCUGAUAUGGGACAAAAAUCCAGAGCUUUUAGGAGUUUAACAGUGAGGAGAGUUGCUCCACCCAUGAGUUCAGUUAUUGUUGAGAAGCAUCAUCCAGUCACUCAGGAGUUCACAGAUUUAGUGAGGUAAUUAUUUCAUGAAGAACAAUUUCUGGAUUCAGAUUUUGUGAGUAGUGUGAUGAGGAAAGCACCUGAACUACUGUACCAAAAACUGACUUCCGAAAAUGAAAUAACUGUGACAGCCCAGGAGAUAUAUUCUGUAUACCCAUUCUGCAAAUAAAAGUCUUAAGUCAGCAAACGAUAUCACGAGUCAGUGCUGAUAAGUAUCCUUGAACUUCAUUCUUCUGGCUCUACGGCUGUGAGACCCGCAGGACAAGCUGGGCGAGUGCUUCGGGGCCAAACUCAGACCUGUGUUCAGUCAAUAAAUGUUGUGAACUGUCUGACUGUUUUCCUCAUCAGUAAGGGCUUUUAAUCAAGGUACCUCUUCCCAGUCUUUUCAGAUUUGAUGCAGCAAGUCCUAAGGUGCAUAUCAUGUUUUUACCCUUUUCUAAAAAAUGACUUUUUUUAAGAGCUUUUAUAAUAAAACCUGAAGGGGGGAAAAAGAACUUGGUACGGUUGUUCUACCUCCAAACUUUUAUUAUUAAGUCAAAAACUUUUUAUUUACGGACUCUUUAGUGCACUUUUUAAAUAAAGAAUACAAUGUGA